CCGGCGGCUGCGGCAGCCGUGCAGCGGAGCCGCCGGGAGAGCGGAGCAGUUCGGGGGUGCGGGGUUCCGGAGUGGCUGUACCCGACCCGUGGGACGUCCCCGCCUCAAAGGCUGCGGGCUGGGAGUCGGGGCUGCUCGGUGCGGGCCGGGGUGGGGGGCGGCCCCGGACACGGGCAGUGCGCGGGGCGGGCCGGGGAGGAGGGAGCGGCUCAGCGCAGCUCGGCACAGCCCGGCUCCUCAGCGCUCGGACGGACGGACGGAGUCUCUCUCGCCGCCGCGUACCCGAGGGAACGAGAGAGAACUGAGAGAGGACAUCUUUCCUCUUCCGGACAAAGUUCUGCAUUGGAAAAGCAUGUGAUCCCCUUCAGACCCCCACUGAUGGUGACUUCCCAGCUGCAGCCGCAUUUUAGUUCCAGCAGGUGAUCGGUUUUAAUCCAGUCAGUGGAAGGUGCACUGAUUUUGUUGAGUGCUAAUUAUUCAUUAAAAGGUCAUGCAGGAUGAAUCAAAUGCCUUCCAGUCUCUGCCUGUUUUAUCAACACAGUUACUCCAAUUAACCAG
rnacentral:lncRNA from 1 species